GACGAACGCUGGCGGCGUGCUUAACACAUGCAAGUCGAACGGAAAGGCCUCUUUCGGGGGGUACUCGAGUGGCGAACGGGUGAGUAACACGUGAGUAACCUGCCCUUGACUUUGGGAUAACUUCAGGAAACUGGGGCUAAUACCGGAUAGGAGCUCCUGCUGCAUGGUGGGGGUUGGAAAGUUUCGGCGGUUGGGGAUGGACUCGCGGCUUAUCAGCUUGUUGGUGGGGUAGUGGCUUACCAAGGCUUUGACGGGUAGCCGGCCUGAGAGGGUGACCGGCCACAUUGGGACUGAGAUACGGCCCAGACUCCUACGGGAGGCAGCAGUGGGGAAUAUUGCACAAUGGGUGGAAGCCAGAUGCAGCAACGCCGUGUGCGGGAUGACGGCCUUCGGGUUGUAAACCGCUUUCGCUCAUGACGAAGCUUUGUGUGACGGUAGUGGGUAAAGAAGCACCGGCUAACUACGCG
rnacentral:rRNA from 1 species